GAGGAAUAUUGGUCAAUGGACGAGAGUCUGAACCAGCCAAGUCGCGUGAGGGAAGACUGCCCUAUGGGUUGUAAACCUCUUUUAUAAGGGAAGAAUAAGUUCUACGUGUAGAAUGAUGCCUGUACCUUAUGAAUAAGCAUCGGCUAACUCCGUGCCAGCAGCCGCGGUAAUACGGAGGAUGCGAGCGUUAUCCGGAUUUAUUGGGUUUAAAGGGUGCGUAGGCGGUUUAUUAAGUUAGUGGUUAAAUAUUUGAGCUAAACUCAAUUGUGCCAUUAAUACUGGUAAACUGGAGUACAGACGAGGUAGGCGGAAUAAGUUAAGUAGCGGUGAAAUGCAUAGAUAUAACUUAGAACUCCGAUAGCGAAGGCAGCUUACCAGACUGUAACUGACGCUGAUGCACGAGAGCGUGGGUAGCGAACAGGAUUAGAUACCCUGGUAGUCCACGCCGUAAACGAUGCUCACUGGUUCUGUGCGAUAUAUUGUACGGGAUUAAGCGAAAGUAUUAAGUGAGCCACCUGGGGAGUACGUCGGCAACGAUGAAACUCAAAGGAAUUGACGGGGGCCCGCACAAGCGGAGGAACAUGUGGUUUAAUUCGAUGAUACGCGAGGAACCUUACCUGGGUUUAAAUGGGAAAUGUCGUAUUUGGAAACAGAUAUUCUCUUCGGAGCGUUUUUCAAGGUGCUGCAUGGUUGUCGUCAGCUCGUGCCGUGAGGUGUCGGGUUAAGUCCCAUAACGAGCGCAACCCUUACCGUUAGUUGCUAGCAUGUAAUGAUGAGCACUCUAACGGGACUGCCACCGUAAGGUGAGAGGAAGGCGGGGAUGACGUCAAAUCAGCACGGCCCUUACACCCAGGGCUACACACGUGUUACAAUGGCCGGUACAGAGGGCCGCUACCAGGUGACUGGAUGCCAAUCUCAAAAGCCGGUCGUAGUUCGGAUUGGAGUCUGUAACCCGACUCCAUGAAGUUGGAUUCGCUAGUAAUCGCGCAUCAGCCAUGGCGCGGUGAAUACGUUCCCG
rnacentral:rRNA from 1 species